GACAGCGUGUCCGAGUGGUUAAGGAGAUGGACUUGAAAUCCAUUAGGCUCUGCCUGCGCAGGUGCGAAUCCUGCUGCUGUCG
rfam:Perkinsus marinus ATCC 50983 gcontig_1104296689580, whole genome shotgun sequence.